GACGAACGCUGGCGGCGUGCUUAACACAUGCGAGUCGAACGGAAAGGCCCUGCUUUUGUGGGGUGCUCGAGUGGCGAACGGGUGAGUAACACGUGAGUAACCUGCCCUUGACUUUGGGAUAACUUCAGGAAACUGGGGCUAAUACCGGAUAAGAGCUCCUGCUGCAUGGUGGGGGUUGGAAAGUUUCGGCGGUUGGGGAUGGACUCGCGGCUUAUCAGCUUGUUGGUGGGGUAGUGGCUUACCAAGGCUUUGACGGGUAGCCGGCCUGAGAGGGUGACCGGCCACAUUGGGACUGAGAUACGGCCCAGACUCCUACGGGAGGUAGCAGUGGGGAAUAUUGCACAAUGGGCGGAAGCCUGAUGCAGCAACGCCGCGUGCGGGAUGACGGCCUUCGGGUUGUAAACCGCUUUCGCCUGUGACGAAGCGUGAGUGACGGUAAUGGGUAAAGAAGCACCGGCUAACUACGUG
rnacentral:rRNA from 1 species